CCUACGGGUGGCAGCAGUGAGGAAUAUUGGUCAAUGGGCGUAAGCCUGAACCAGCCAAGUCGCGUGAGGGAUGCAGGUCCUACGGAUUGUAAACUUCGUUUAUAAGGGAAUAAAGUGCGUGACGUGUUCCGUUUUGUAUGUACCGUAUGAAUAAGGAUCGACUAACUCCGUUCCAGCAGCCGCGGUAAUACGGAGGGUCCGAUCGUUAUCCGGAUGUAUUGGGUGUAAAGGGAGCGUCGGCGGGAUGUUAAGUCAGCGGUGAAAGGCUGUGGCUCAACACUGCAAUUGCCGUUGAAACUGGGAGAGUGGAGUAUGGUAGAGGCAGGCGGAAUGCGUGGUGUAGCGGUGAAAUGCUUAGAUAUCACGAAGAACACCGAUUGCGAAGGCAGCAUGCUAGGCCAUAACUGACGCUGAGGCACGAAAGCGUGGGGAGCAAACAGGAUUAGAUACCCGGGUAGUC
rnacentral:rRNA from 1 species